rnacentral:lncRNA from 1 species
AUUCCCGGGAAACGGCCCCGGAUCCUGCCCCAAAUCCAGCCCCAAAUCCUGGGAAAUGUCCCCAGAUCCUGCCCUGAAUUCCCGGGAAACGGCCCCGGAUCCUGCCCUGAAUUCCUGGAAUUGUUCCCAGAUCCUGCCCCAAAUCCUGCCCCAAAUCCUGGGAAUUCCCCCCAAAUCCUGGGAAUUCCCCCCAAACCCAACGCCAAAAUCCCCUUGAAAUUCCUUGAAAUUUUCCCUGGAAUUCCCCCCAAAAUCCCCUUAAAAUUCCCCAAAAUAUCCCCAAAAAAUCCCCUCAUAAAACCCGCCAAAACAUUCCCAAAACUCCCUCAAAAUAUUCCCAAAAAUCCCCCCAAAAUAUUCCCAAAAAUCCCCCUCAAAAUAUUCCCAAAAAAAUUCCCUAUAAUCCUCCGGUUUGACCUUCCCAACAUGGCGGCACCGGAAGUGCCCUUCCCGAUAUGGCGGAACCGGAAGUUACC